rnacentral:sRNA from 1 species
ACGAGACGGGUAAAUCCUGUUAUGUGCCUGAGGCGUUCCCUCCCAUCGGUUGGCUAGAGCCUUAGGAUCAUCGGCAUAGCAGGUCCGUCUUUU